rnacentral:rRNA from 1 species
UACGUAGGCAGCAAGCGUUGUUCGGAGUUACUGGGCGUAAAGGGUGUGUAGGCGGUCUUCUAAGUUUGGUGUGAAAUCCCUCGGCUCAACUGAGGAACUGCCUUUGAAACUGUCUGGCUUGAGGCCGGGAGAGGGUAGCGGAAUUCCCAGUGUAGCGGUGAAAUGCGUAGAUACUGGGAGGAACACCGGUGGCGAAGGCGGCUACCUGGACCGGAACUGACGCUGAGGCGCGAAAGCGUGGGUAGCAAACAGG